AGCAGACUCCAAGUUUAAGUCUGUCAAAUGAAAGAAGAAUAUAUUGGAAAAAAAAACCCUAGGAUUUACCCUUCCAUCAGUGUCACUGCACAUCCAUAGUGAUUUGACUAGACUAUACCUGUAAAGAGGACCAAGUUAAAUCUUGAGGGAAAUGCUUCCUUCUAUGACACCUAUUACAGCAAUGAAACUGUGUGAUUUUUGUCCAUUAUUUCUGCUAUUUGAGCUUCGUAUAGAAGCAGGGGAUGCCAAGAGAAGAGGAACCUCAUGUGAGACCUCAGCGGGAAGCUUCUCUCCUCCCUCAUUCUGAUUCAACAAGAGCAAGCAGGUAUGCUGACUCUACCACUUCCUGGGCAGCCUGUUACUACACCCAACAACUCUUUCUGAAAAUAAAUUCUUCUUCAACCUGAAUCUUCCCCUCCAGACUGG